rnacentral:tRNA from 2 species
UGGGGCGUGGUGUAACGGCAGCACGACAGGUUCUGGCCCUGUUAGUCGAGGUUCGAAUCCUUGCGCCCCAG